GGUUAAGCGACUAAGCGUACACGGUGGAUGCCUUGGCAGUCAGAGGCGAUGAAGGACGUGCUAACCUGCGAAAAGCUCAGAUGAGGCGGUAAGAGCCACUUG
rnacentral:rRNA from 1 species